rnacentral:rRNA from 1 species
CCUACGGGAGGCAGCAGUGAGGAAUAUUGGUCAAUGGGCUUACGCCUGAACCAGCCAAGUCGCGUGAGGGAAGACUGCCCUAUGGGUUGUAAACCUCUUUUGUCAGGGAGCAACGCCGGCUACGUGUAGCCGGCCUGAGAGUACCUGAAGAAAAAGCAUCGGCUAACUCCGUGCCAGCAGCCGCGGUAAUACGGAGGAUGCGAGCGUUAUCCGGAUUUAUUGGGUUUAAAGGGUGCGUAGGUUGUUUUUUAAGUCAGCGGUGAAAGUUUGUGGCUCAACCAUAAAAUUGCCGUUGAAACUGGAAGACUUGAGUGUGUUUGAGGUAGGCGGAAUGCGUGGUGUAGCGGUGAAAUGCAUAGAUAUCACGCAGAACUCCGAUUGCGAAGGCAGCUUACUAAGCCAUAACUGACACUGAAGCACGAAAGCGUGGGGAUCAAACAGGAUUAGAUACCCCAGUAGUC